rnacentral:sRNA from 1 species
GCAAGCUAUCCCUCGCUGCUAAGCCAUCGCUGCCAAUCUAUCUAUCACUGUCAAUUUAUCUACCACUGCCAAUCUAUCUAUUGCUGCUAAUCUAUCACUGCUGUCAAUCUAUCUAUCGCUGUCAAUCUAUCUAUCACUGCCAAUCUAUCUAUCGCUUCUAAUCUAUCGCUGCUAAUCUAUCGCUGCCAAUCUAUCCAUCGCUGUCAAUUUAUCUACCACUGCCAAUCUAUCUAUCGCUGCUAAUCUAUCGCUGCUAAUCUAUUGCUGCUAAUCUAUUGCUGCUGUCAAUCUAUCUAUCACUGCUAAUCUAUUGCUGCUAAUCUAUCACUGCUAAUCUAUCGCUGCUAAUCUAUCACUGCUAAUCUAUCACUGCCAACCUAUCUAUCGCUGCCAAUCUAUUGCUGCCAAUCUAUCACUGCCAAUCUAUCUAUCGCUUCUAAUCUAUCGCUGCUAAUCUAUCGCUGCCAAUCUAUCCAUCGCUGUCAAUUUAUCUACCACUGCCAAUCUAUCUAUCGCUGCUAAUCUAUUGCUGCUAAUCUAUUGCUGCUAAUCUAUUGCUGCUGUCAAUCUAUCUAUCACUGCUAAUCUAUCGCUGCCAACCUAUCUAUCGCUGCCAAUUUAUCUACCACUGCCAAUCUAUCUAUCACUGCUAAUCUAUUGCUGCUAAUCUAUCACUGCUAAUCUAUCGCUGCUAAUCUAUCACUGCUAAUCUAUCACUGCCAACCUAUCUAUCGCUGCCAAUCUAUUGCUGCCAAUCUAUCGCUGCCAACCUAUCUACUGCAGUGAAUCUAUCUAUCACUAUCAUUACUAGUUCAAAAUAGAACUAGAGCAUAAAUACACUAAACUUCUUUUAAUAGAUAAUGAUUUUUGGUAACACUCAUAGCAUUAUAUCAUCUAUAUAGGGUAAAUCAUGGUCCCAUUUGGUCCCAUUUUAACAAAAUGGGACUAAAUGGAACCAGAAUCAGUAAUUUAUAAGAAGAACAUGACCUGGGACU